GGGUUGUGAGGUUAAGCGACUAAGCGUACACGGUGGAUGCCCUGGCAGUCAGAGGCGAUGAAGGACGUGCUAAUCUGCGAUAAGCGCCGGUAAGGUGAUAUGAACCGUUAUAACCGGCGAUUUCCGAAUGGGGAAACCCAGUGUGACUCGUCACACUAUCAUUAACUGAAUCCAUAGGUUAAUGAGGCGAACCGGGGGAACUGAAACAUCUAAGUACCCCGAGGAAAAGAAAUCAACCGAGAUUCCCCCAGUAGCGGCGAGCGAACGGGGAUGAGCCCAGAGCCUGAAUCAGCAUGUGUGUUAGUGGAAGCGUCUGGAAAGGCGCGCGAUACAGGGUGACAGCCCCGUACACAAAAGCGCAUAUGCUGUGAGCUCGAUGAGUAGGGCGGGACACGUGGUAUCCUGUCUGAAUAUGGGGGGACCAUCCUCCAAGGCUAAAUACUCCUGACUGACCGAUAGUGAACCAGUACCGUGAGGGAAAGGCGAAAAGAACCCCGGCGAGGGGAGUGAAAAAGAACCUGAAACCGUGUACGUACAAGCAGUGGGAGCCCCACCACUAAGCCAGUGGUGAACUCCACAUACGCAUCCUUUGCUGAGGAUGCGGUUAACGGAGCGAAAGCGACGUUCAACCGCAAAAGAAGCAGAGGGGGCUUAGUGGUGG
rnacentral:rRNA from 6 species